UUUUUUUUUUUUUUUUUUUUUUUUGUAAAACUCACUUGUAGGAUGCCAUAAUGCAUGCAUUUUAGUUUUGCUCUAGAAUGUUGGAAUACCAAUUUCUGAAAGUUCUUCAGGAUAAGGUACUCCAGUUUGCUUUGAGAAGUAAAUGUUUGAGUUCUAUGAGGGACUUCUUUCAGUCUUUGCAUAAGGAGCCUUGAGUACCGUGAUAACUAACAUCAUCCAUUCACCCAGCAAAUACCCAAAGCAAGUCUGGAAGCGAUGCAGAUUUGUCCUUUUUCAUUGUGAUGCUGAGUCUCCGCUCUCACGCCUUUGUGUGUCUGUGGGACAUCUCCAGAGAGGAUUGGCAGAUGGGACGGCAACUGGGGAAGGAAGGCUCCACCCAAUGGGCUGGUGGCCUGGAUGGAAGGUCGUGUGUGGACCUGCAAGGCCCUUUUCUGUCUGUGUAGAUGGCUGCUUCCUGUAGACAUUAGACUUCAGAUCUUUCAACCUUUUAGUGUGAACUCAGCAGAGUGACUUUCUAGGAAGCUUUUAGACCUUCAAUGCUAGACUGGACUACUGAGGUGUCUGGCUCUCUGAGUUAGGAGUUUCCAUGCUUUCUAAUUUCCAGUGUGUAAAUGCAUGACAUUAUUAAAAUGAGCACCCCUAAUCAUGUCAGCUAUCAAAAAGUCCUCUCUCUCUCUCUUUCUCUCUCUCUCUCUCUCUCUCUGGAAGGGUCUUUCUGUGUAGUCCUAGCCGUCCUGGUUGCUACGUAGAUCAACCAGGCUGCCCUUGAAGGCACAGAGAUCUGUCUGCUUCUAUAUCCCGUGUAUUGGGAUUAAAGGCAUGUGCCACCACAUCAAACUUUAAAUUUUAUUUUGUAUGUGUGUGUGUGUGUUUUGCCUUCAUGUAUGUCUAUAUAUUCUGUGUGUGCCUGGCCAUCAGAGCUCCUAGAACAGGAUUCAUAACUGGUUAUGAGCUACUACGUGGGUGCUGAGAUUGAGCAGGGUUCUGUGGAAGAGCAGCAAGUACUCUUAUCUGUUGGGCAAUCUCUCACCAGCCCUCACUUUUUUUUUUAAAGACAAAAUCUUGUCAUAGUAGCCUGUAAUCCUCCAUAGGUAUGCCCAGAGGCCAAAUAAUCCCACCCAGGUGUGUCUUCAGGCAUUUCCUAGGUGAUGUCAGAUCCUGUGAAAUUGGCAAGUAUCAUUACAGUAAGUGAUAAGCAUAUUGUUUUAUAAAAUGUACUUGAUUUUUCCCAGUAACUCUGUCAGCUAACAGUCUCAUUUUAAUGAGGAAACUGGAGUUCAGAGAGGGUCAAUAACCAGAUCGAGGUUACUCAGCUGCUCUGUGGUAGAUAUGAGGUUUGAACGGAGGCAGCCUGGCUUCAGAGUACAUGUUCUGAUAAUAGUCCCUCCUUCUCUUGCCUCUUAACUGCUGAAAUGCUAAUUACCAAUCAGUCUAAUUGAUUCCUUUAAAUAGCCACUGUAUCAUUAGUUUAGCUGGCUGGAAGGCUCUGUAGCUCAGCUGCUGUUACUUCUGUUCAUCUGUCCAUCUGUCCAUCUGUUCCCCCAUCCAUACAAGAUCAAUGGAACGUAAAGGGUUCACAGAGACGCCACUCUACCAGCUGUUUCUAAGUUCUCAGAGUAUCAAGUAAUUACAAGUAUAAAAAUGGUAUCUGUGGUGAUUUGAAUAGGAAUGGCCCACAGGGAGUGGCACUAUUAGGAGGUGUGGCCUUAUUGGAGGGGUGUGGCCAUGUUGGAGUUAGUGUUUCCCUGUAGAGGAAGCCUUGGAAGUCUCCUAUGCUCAAGCUAUGCCUAGUGUGGCACAAGAUCCCCUUCUGCUAUCUUUGGACCAAGAUGUAGAACUCUUGGCUCCUCCAGCACCAUGUCUGCCUGCACAAUACCAUGCUUUCCACCAUGAUGAUGAUGGACUGAACUUCUGAACCUGCAAGCCAGCCCCAAUGAAACAAUUUCCUAAUGUGAAUUGCAUGUGGUCACAGCAAUAGAACCCUGACUAACAGUAUCCUAGUAUUUACCUUGCAGAUUUGCUGAGUAUCAACUGAACUGUUUCAUGUGUACCAUCUAGCCUCUGGUCUGCAUUCCUUUGUAUAGUUCAAAAAGACAUAUUCACAGAUUUAAAGUCCUACAACUAUAGAAUUUCAGCUAUGUUCCCACCUUUCUCUUUUAUUUCUAGAUGAGUGAUAUUUUCUCUUUUAGCACCUGGGAGGAAGAAGUACUGAGUUGUUUGUGGAGUCCGUGUCCACCUUGGCUGCCCACCUCUUCCUGGGGCUAAGGGGACCAUCUGUCUGUUGGAUGGCAGGGAUUCAGCACGGUGGGGUGGCCCAGUCUCCUUCCCUUCCCGUCCUUGCUAUUGACAAAGUCUGGAUUCCUGCUUUCUGAAAGACAAUGGCAGAAAGCUUGGGAGUGUGCUGGCCUUUCCUUUUCUGGGAACACUACACAGAGGGAGAGCUGUGGAGAAGACAGUUGUACUGGCCACAGGAGCAGCUGGACUACGCAUGAGCUUCUAUGAAGUUCUAAUAGCAAGGUCAAGGGCAACACUGGGGAAUUUCUUGUUCUUUAUGAUUCUGAUCCUCGACACGCUGGGGGUGGGGGUGGCGGCAGACAGCCUUUUGCCAGAGAGAGCUUGGCACUCAGACUCCUGCCAUCUGGGUUGUGAAUACUCUCUCCCUUCCUCCCUCCAUCUCUCAUGUCUUCUGUGCAUGUCUCUGUGUAUCUGUGUCUUUAUGUCUGCGCAUGUCUGUGUAUGUCCCCUGUGUUUAUGUGUGCCAUGCAUGCUUGUCCAUGUCUCUCUCUGUUCAUAGACAGACUUUUGGGACAGAUGCCAGAAGUCUCAAGGUCAGGACAAGGCGGUUCUUGUCCCCUGGACUCCACCCCUAGAGCUGCUUCUUUCCUUCGGUUCAAAUAUAGAACUAAGAUCAAGUCCAAAGGAGGUUGGGUUUUUAAAAAAACAUUUACUUAUUUAUUUAGUUGUCUUAAGACACACCAGAAGAGGGCAUCAGAUCUCAUAAGAGAUGGUUGUGAGCCACCAUGUGGUUGCUGGGAAUUGAACUCUGGAUCUCUGGAAGAGCAGUCAGUUCUUGUAACCACUGAGGCAUCUCCCCAGCCCUGGACGUUGGAUUUUAAUACAUCUAUCUCAUCCAUAUCUAUAUAUCAUUAUGAGCUUUCAGAAGACAACCUUGGGCUGGCAAGAAGGCUUACCAAUUAGAGGUAUUUGCCACCAAGACUGCUGGCCAGAGUUUUAUCCCUAGAAUCCAUGUAGAUGAAGGAAAGUUGUCCUCUGACCGCCACAUGCAAGCUGUAGCACAGGUGCAAGCUCUUUCUCUAUCAUGUAAACAAACAAAUAAACAACAAACAAAACAGAACAAAAACCACAUUCCCUUUCUGCUAUGGCUGCCUCUUUCUCAGUUCCAUAGGUUGAUAUUUCUGUCUCACUGUCCCACUGGGACUUUCAAUAUACAGUGAUAUACAGUAAACAUCCCUGCUCUAAAGGAGAGACUUGGGAUACAGAAAGAAAAGAGUGGACCAGAGCAAAAUCAAAGCGGAGUAGGGUAGACACCAUGCACAGGUAGGUACAGAGUGACUAUCAUAUUGCUCUGGAAGCUAGGCUGCCUGUUGUAUGAGAUUACUAUCCAGCAGCCAACAACUGAGGCUCAGCCCAAACUUUGACUGGCUUGUGCCCAUGUAACAGUGUGGGAGGUGUCCUAAUUGGGCAAGUUAAAUGUAGGAGGCUAUUCAAGACCCUUCCAAGGUGGGGUGCUCUCAGGUUCUGUGUAGGGACCACGUUGAAACACAUAGACAAGAAACCAUCUGGAGAGGAGUGGCCCAUUGCUCCUGGAGCCCAGGGAACAGUGAACAUAUGUUACAGAUAACUGGAUAGCUGACUGCUCCUCGGAUGCAAAGCCCUGCACUUUUCCAUUGGGAAGGUGUUGCCAUAGAGAAAACUUUGUUCAUGGACACUUGCUGGCUGGCUUGAACCCCUGCUCAACCAGGAGAGUCAAGAUUAAUUUAUCCAACACACACUUACUGAGCCAUCUGCAUCCUGAAGCACUGAGCCUUCUUUCUAGGGUGCAAUACAUGAGAGAUACGUUGAAUGUAGCUGCACUCCGCCCAGGUCCUGACCAUUUGAGAGAUGUCAAGUUCAAAAGCAAUGGCCUAAGCUGUUUGGCGGAGGAGAUUUCAAGACGGCAUAGCUCUCAACCAAUGGGAUGCAACCAAUGGGAUGGGGCCACUCACAUUUCGGGUGGUCUGCCUAGCGCUUUCAAGGCAAGAGUGGGGAAGGUCUUCAGAAAGGAGGAAGAAGAAGAGGAGGAAGAUGGUGCUGUGGUUUAUCGACACCUCACUCUGAUUCUCCAAAGAAUCAUAUCACAUGAAUAAUUAACCUUCCAGCAAGCCAAAGAACUGAUCUUCAGGGAGCUGAGAGUUCAUGAAAAUUUAAAGACCUGAGCCAGAGCAGGCAAUGUGUUGUUUUCAUGGCAGCUUAGACAUCUUUGAAAACUCAAAAGUUUCAGGGUCUCCCCUAGGGUCCUACUGUGACGUCAGCAUGGGCUUCCUGGAUUCCCGAGUCUUGCUGGGCAGGGUGCUUCUCUGGGAGCUCCGUCCAGGCGAGAAGGCUAGUGCCUACAGGUGAGAACAUCUCUGGGUGUCUCUCCGUGAAACCCGUGGGUGGGUUACAGGUGUCCCCCUAAGCAGUGGAUCCAUGUUGUCGGGUUACCAAGGCAACCCCAUUCCUCCUGGGACAGGGGAGGAGGGGAUGCUGACAGAGUAAGAUUUCAUGAGCUGUCUUUCCAUAGGAAUCGGGGCUAAAAAUACCCCACAAUUGGCACUUGCAUGGUUUCAGGAGCCUCUCUGCCUCCUGUCUCUGCACAUUUAGAAACUGCUCCCUGGCCGAGUCCUGAUCCUUUAGAGCUGAACUUGGCACUGCCUGGGGGGCUGAGGAGAGCCAGUGUUCCAGGAAACUGGUGAUUACCUUAAUGGCUGGGUAUGGAGAUCUGAGUGAGGACUGGUGUAUGUCCCUGUCAGACACAGGCCUGCCUCAUUUCGCUUCACCAGAGGCAUUCAUGGUUAACCACGAGGGCAGUGGCAGCCUCUGGCUGCUGGAACCAGUCUUGGCCUCCUGGCCAGGUUGAUCUUUAGGGACCCUCUGCUUCCUCUCUCCUUCUGGUCCACAUUGUAUGCACUGUGGCAGAAAGGAGCUCAAGCC